UGUGGCUCAGUGGUAGAGCACUUGCCUAGCAAGUCUGAGGCACUGGGUUCGAUUCUCAGCA
rnacentral:tRNA from 1 species